GGGACACGCAGGUGCCUGGGCAGCUGCUGCUCCAGCUGGCGCAGUUCUCCACUGCAUCUCCUUCGUCUUCUCCUGGAGAGAGAAACUGUGGGCAGCUAUGAAAGAAACAAAAUAGAUCUGCUACGAGAGGACAAUCCAUACUAUGAGCUCGGCUUGGACUGGUUGCCAGGAAGCCCUGAGAAAGGUGCGAUUUGGCUGCAUGCUUGCUGUGUGAUAGUUACAGAAGGCUGCAGUGCUCUGUCCAGCCAACUGGAAGGAAAGUUGGGAAACAAUCGCUGUAAAAGUAGGUGCUAGUGCCUCUGCAAGGCAG